GUCAUCUAAUAAGGGUAAUGCAAUUGGUCGAGCUAACAAACAGCGCAUCUGGUGUAGUGGUAUCAUAGUACCCUCCCACGGUACUGACCGGGGUUCGAUUCCCCGGAUGCGCAUUCUUUCUUUUUCCUACGUACUUUUUAUCUUAUGUGCGAUCUUCGUGUUGUUCUUCUGUGAAUUUCAGUCAUAUGCAGUAACGCCUCCUGUGUACAAUCGUUCACCAGUCACGACGACCAUGAUCGAAUGCGAACCAGAAAUCAGCAAAACCAACAACAAGAAAGAUGGUGGGAAAGUUUCGAAACUCCACCAGUAUUUCGAGCAAGAUAGUCCAGCUCCUAGGAACUAAUUGCAACUCACCCGCCCAUGUCUACCAAAUUCAGGCUCAGCUUAUCAUCCAAAACCUCUAUACAAACACCACUCUUGCUUCCCAUUUCAUCUCUGCCUGCCGAUCAUUAGGCCUUUCACAGGCAGCUUUCCUCCUCUAUACUCUUAAUCCCCAAAAGCCCCAAACUUUCAUUUGCAACCAGCUUCUUAGAGCCUUUUCUCAUUCUGAUGCCCAUCACUAUUCUAUUUCCUUAUACUCCCACAUGCAUAAAAAUCUCAUCUUCCCUAAUAACUAUACCUUCCCUUUUAUCCUCAAAUCUCUGUCAGACCUCAGGAGCCUCAAACAAGGCAAAUGCAUACAUGCCCAGAUCGUUAAGUUGGGUCCCCUCAAUGAUAUUUAUGUUCAGAAUUCGCUACUGAACUUGUACGCGUCCUGCGGGGACAUGGUGUCAUCUGGCUACGUGUUCGAUGAAAUGCCUCACAAAGACGUGGUUACUUGGACCGUAGUCAUCACUGGGUAUCGAGAAUGUAGCAUGUUUAAAGAUGCACUAAUUGCGUUUGAGCAAAUGCAGAAUGCAGGUGUGGAACCCAAUCAGGUGACGAUGGUGAACGCGCUGGCUGCCUGUGCGAGUUUUGGGGCUCUUGACAUGGGGGUGUGGAUACACGAGUUUAUAAAGAGGAAAGGGUGGACACUGGAUGUCAUUCUGGGUACUGCUUUGAUUAAUAUGUACGGAAAGUGUGGUAGAAUUGAAGAAGGUCUAAAGGUUUUCAAAAGCAUGGAAGAGAAGAAUGUUUUCACGUGGAAUGCCCUGAUUAAAGGGUUCGCUUUAGCUGAAAAUGGUCAGGAGGCAGUUAUGUGGUUCUCUGAGAUGGAGCGAGAAGGAGCUAAUAAGCCUAAUGAGGUGACCUUGAUUGCAGUGCUUUGUGCCUGUGUUCAUUCUGGAUUGGUAAAAUGGGGGGAAGAAAUUUUUUCCUCUUUACUGCAUCAGAAAUAUGGAUUUUCACCUGGUGUCAAACACUAUGCCUGUAUGAUUGAUCUAUUAGCACGUGAUGGACGUUUAGAGGAUGCUCUAAGGAUCAUUGACAAACUGCCUUUUCAGUCUACCAAGACUAUUUGGGGAGCCUUCUUUUCUGGAUGUAGAGUACAUGGGAACUUAGAAUUAAGUGAAGUUGCAGCUAGGAAAUUAGUGGACCUGGAGCCAGAAAUUUGUGCUUACUAUGUAGUCCUGUCUAAUCUUUAUGCAGAAAUGGGAAGAUGGGAUGAUGUGGAAGAAAUUCGAAGAUUGAUGAAAAACAAGGAAUUUAGGAAGGAUUCUGGCUAUAGUUCUAUUGAACUUGAAUAUCUGGAAGAUGUCUCCAAAUGGUUAGAUUAGAAAAAACAAUUGUCUCCAUUUUCACACCAAGUAAGCCAAAGGUAGAGCAGUGUCCAAGAAUAUCUUGAAUUGCUUUGAGCAUAGCCACCAAAACGCAAUUGCUCUUCGCCUAUUUAUCCAGAGAUGAACUUUUGGCAUAAGUUUCCAGUCGAAAUUAAUCAUAAAUUAUUGUUCUGGCAGGCUUCUGCUCAAGCUAAAGAUGUAACUAAAGGCUGAUGCAAAUCAAUCAGGUUUGAUGUGUGAAGGAUCGUUCUUUGGUCAUGAACUAUGUGGGCUAUCUUUGCAGCUGGGAACAUGAUAUUAUGCUUGUCGCAGUGGUGGAUACAGCAUUCGCAAUUUCAGUCGACCUUCUGGAGCCUAAUUGAUGUAGUGGAUUCUGCCAUCAAUUAGAGGAGGAGGUUGGUGAAGAACAAUUAGUUGGGAAGGUAUCUUCUGCUUUUGUUUACUUCAGGAAGUCAUGUCAAACUUGCUUACGUUGAGGCAAAGGAAAGUUUCUUGCUACCGUAUGAACGUGAAGAAACUGGAGCAAAAGUUGUCUGGCUCUCACUCUCAGUGAAGGGGCAGAGAAAAC